CUUUAACACCUUUGGUUUUAGUGGCUUAUUUUAUUAAUAUUAAGAAAGCUGCUCCCUUUUCGUCACAGCCCCGAUAAUGAAUUGCAGUGUACAAAGCCGGUCAUACAAUACGCAGCAGCGGCAGCGCGGAGCGAGAAUCUUUGGGAAGAGUUUCCAUAGAAACAUUGACGUCCUCCUGGCGAACAGGACACCGAGUUCCUUCAAUGGGAGAUAAACACAUGGGCCUCAAGGAUUGUCCAAACUCCCCAUGGACUGUGGCUUCUCCAUGCCGUGUUGUGUCUUCGGCCCUGUGGUUCCACUGGGCUCACCUGCAACAGGCUUUUGCUCUGCAAAAAGGCUGCUCAUGGUCCUGAUGACGUGGAUAUGCAAUCACUGACCUCCAAAACCCCAGGGAGAACCAUUUCUAGGAGGGCCUGAGCUAAAUACAGCCUCUCUACGACUGCAGCCUCACCAGUGGCCAGCAGAUUCCCCCAGAGGAGACGACAGAGCUGGAAGUAGUUGGAGAAAAUGUGAUCGAACUCAGAAGAAAACUUCCAGGUACUGAUGCCUAAUCUCCUGGUGUGAAGGAAUAAUUGCAUUAUUAUCUCUCUGGAGUUGGAGAGAAAUGAGACUUAUCCUCUUCGGGGCAAGGAAUUUACCAAACAACAAAAGUUAAAAUUCCUGGUGCUUUUAUUAAAAGUCUGCUCUGAGCAGAGUCGUGUGUGUAUGCAGCCUCGGAUUAGACUGUGAGAAUUUAUGGAAAAGCUUUUCGUGAGAAAACAUUCGCAGCUAUGUAGCCUUAGAAACUGGAGAGUUGGAGCUGGAGCUCGAAGAGUGGCUAUGAAUAUGGAGAGCCAGGAGUUGGAAUAAUCACAAGGGAGGCAACUGCACCAGCCAGGAAGAAAGAUGAGAGUUUCAGCAGAAAACUGAUCAAGAUAACGAAGCAGCGAGAAGAUGCCUUGUGACAGCAGCUGGAUUUGUAGCAUCUAGCCUCAAAUAGGAGCAUGAAACACAAGUUUGCUUGGAGGGGAGAAAAAUCCAUCAGAAGAUUUCACAUAGGAUUGUGAGGCUAUGGAAAGCUCCAAGACGCCCUGGAACGCUGCACCAUUUACCCUAAUCUGGGGAAAUUGAGGCAUGUUCCCUAGCUGACGAUAAUCAGGAUGUCAAAAAAUUAGCAGAACUUCUGCAUUUAUCGGGAAGUUUUGGUUAACAGUCACUCCUCCUCUGCUCCUUCUUUCAGAUACUGCAGAACUAACUGACAUUAAACUGGCAGAAUCCCAGUGUAAAGGUGAACUCGAGGAAAAAAUUAUAUUGGAUUUUAAUAAAACUUUUCUCAAAGGUCAACCUCUCUAAGCAGCUGCCUUCUGUGUCUUGCUCAGGACUCCAGCAACUUUUGCCAGGUAAGCUAUAACAUUAGUAGCAAUCCACUUAGGAGAGAGUGAUGUCCUUGUGAGCUCUAAGCUCCUUAGAUCAGUCUAGGAGGAUCAGUCCCUUUGAGUGAUGUUGCCCCAGCAAAAUAACAUGAAUAUAUUAUAGAUGUAUUUUCAGGGUUUUGUGGGUUUUUUUAGAAGACUCACUAAUAUCUAAGAAAGUACUAGCUUAGGAGGGUUUUUUUCAGCUGCACAAAGCUGUAGAUACUCAGAUCUGGAAACUGCUUUUCAAUCCAUGGCAUACAAGCUCCAGCUCUUGAUGGCCAAGUUUCUAAAAUCUUGGCAUCACUGGAGCCACUAACAUCACACACUAUAACAGCAGAGUAAUUUCUGUUGCUGGUGUUUGGAUUUGCCUGCCCAGCUGAUCUGUGGGGCAGGCCAGACCCAGAGCAUCCCAUGGGAAUUGGUACCAGGGCUUUCAGGGCUCCCGGGAUCGGACGAACAACGCAGGGCUGUUCUCACGGUCACAGCCCAUCACUACUGUACCCUUUGUCUACCCUUCUCGCCCUUUUACUGUAAUCCUUCCCUCCCUGCACUUCAAGGGCUAUUCCUCCCUCUCUGCCAAGAUUAACUGUCCCUCUGUCCAGACUGACAGACAUUUACCCAACCACCAGGUCCUCCUUCCUCCGUCCCUUCCCUGCACAUCUCCCAGGACACUAAUCCUAUUCCUCAGCCCCCUGAGCUACAGAGGCACAAGCCUGGGCACAGAGUCUCUGACUGUGGCUGUUUGCCCCGGGGGUAGGAAUCUGCACACCGGAGUUAUCCCACACAUCCUGCCUUGUGCACUCACUUGGUGGCUCAAGCUGUGGCAGCAGCUGCUCUCCCUCGGAGGGAACUGUGUGCCCUUUCACAGGAUCAGAGACGAGUUGGGGCUCCCCUAGAAAACGACCUGGCUGUUCUGGCUGAAUUCUGUUCUUGGUUAUUCUUUACUCCAUCAAAACAACGUUACUCGCAAGGUAAUUUCGUGGCUUCCCAUCUCAAAAAACCUUUGUGGUCAGAGAGCUCCUGGUGCCGGGCAACACCUGAUAGGUCCAGACAACCCCUAUAAUCUGUAUUUAAGGAAAAACCACUGCUUAAGCUGCUAAAGUGAAAUGUAAGAGAACCUACACUACAUUUCAAACUCACUGCUAAGAUAUGUGCUGGAGAGCAGCCAGGCCUGGUUGCUCACACUGAUAGAUGGUGGGGAAAAGGAACACGCGUUAAAAUCAGCGAAUGGAUAAAACUGGGCUGGAGAGGGAUGAAUACAAUGGGAAAAGCUUUCCAUUUUUCAGAAUCAAAGCCCAGGCUCCCACGCUAAAGGGAGAAUUGUGUUCCCAAAUAGGAAAACGUUAAAAAAGAGACUGUACUAUUUUCGGGAAUGUAUGAUACAAAGCUUCAUGUCCACCGUCAGGAUAAAUCUUAUAUAUUCUGUACAGCAACAUUCAUUUAGCAGAGAAGAGGAUUCUAUGAAAAGGACAAAGAUGGGUGGUGGAAAUUCUGAGCCUUUCUUCCUACUGCUCUUAAAUUCUUGUCCUCGUUGACAUAAUUAGCAAAAACGUUCUGAGAUAUUUUUAAUUCCUUUUAACAACUUUUAUGAUUCACAAACUGUAUUUUGGUUUCAGAUGCUGUGUUGAUCAAUAAACAAUGCUGAUUUAGAUUUUUAAAGAGCACUAGCAAUUAUUUGAGGAACCAAAUUUAGAUUUCUUUAGUAGAAAAGAAGAUCCUUUUGUCAAGACUAUGUAGUCUCUGCAAAGUCUUGUGUAAGUAGUUUUACAAUGCAGAGAUUUUGGCUCUGGAGAUUAUUCCGCAGGGACCCCGACCACGGAAAUUGUAGUUCAGUUGCUGUCUGCUGGCCAGCAUUGCAGGAUCUGGCUAUGAACAGGGCAUGAGAUCAAACCCUUCUCAUUUAAUAUAGAUUAAGAAAGUCUUCUUACUCCUAAUCUCACUCCUGCCUCCUGCCCUGCUCUGAAAUACUUGUGCUGAUUUGCUCUGCUGGGGAGAAAACUUGUCAAGGUCUGUCAGGAAAGAUGAGAAUAUAUAUUUUUCUUUUCUUUUAAGAUUAAUCUUGCAGUUGAAUAGAAUUGGCAACACGAGUAAAAUUUUGCUGCUGGAGUUAUUUUGUAUUGAUUGCAUUUUUAAAGAUUUUUCUAGCAGGGAGAGGCAGACAUUUUGUUAUUGCUGUGUAUUAAUCAAAAAGACUGAAAAAUACUGCAGGCCCUACUCUGACCCUUGUGGAUCAAAAAGGCAGUCGAGGUUUUAAGAAUACAAAUUAUCCCGGAUUAAACUCUGGGUUUAGGUGUUAAUAAUUUAACACUACUACAGUUUGGCCACCUACUUGUGAUGUGCUAUAUGUGGAUCACUGCAGUUUAAAAGCAUUUUUUUUUUUCAAACAAGGAUAAACUGAAACUAUGAGUGGGCCACUAGAAGCAGGCUUGAUUCUUGCAGACCUGAAGAGGUUAUUCUUAUGGUAAUUACCUGUCUAACAUUUAGAAUUAUAGAAUGGCUUGGGGUGGAAGGGACCCUAAAGAUGAUCUAGUUCCAUUUAAUAUCGGAUUUCUUCGAUAGCGUGGACUGCACGAGAAGCUUCCUUUCCUUAAGCCACAGAAAAGCCACUGUUUUUACAGCUUUAAAGGAUCCCACGGCUGCCUUGAUUACCAGUGCCUUGGCUCUGUACGUUUAAUUCAGCUCCUAAUGCUUCUCAUGUAGUGCUAAAGCCAUUUAAAAGAAAGUCUCUUGCUUUUACAACCCCGCUUUUUUUAGCAGCUCAGCAGCAGUUACCGGGUUUGUAAAGCUCCUUACGGAAUCUCACCUGAAAACACUGAUCUGCGGCGCUGUGCAGUUUUUCCCACUUCAAAGGGAAAUCUGCUGCUGCCACCCCAGAACUGAGCACAGCGAGACACCCAACUGUCACUGGGGGCUGAUGUCACCUCCCAAGGUGUGUUUGUUGUACCAGGGAGACUUCUGAGCGCUAAUGUCAGAAAAAAACAAAACAAAACAACCACCUCUGUUUGUCUUUUUCGCCUUCUCUGUUUAGGGAGUUGUUUCACGUUGUUUCUUUUUGUUCUAAACAAGUACCCGGGGCUCUCACUCAGAUUCCCAGGGAUGCUGCAGCAGUUCCCAGUAGUCUCCCAGUUGUUAAUGCUUGUAAUUCUAUAAUGUUCAUACUUUAUUUUCCAUUCAGGGUGCACAGUGACGACAGGUGACCCAGUUUUCACUGAAGGCAUGUGCAACCCCUUAUGGUUAAAAAUGGGUGAGAAAUGGGGAGGGGAAUCGUAAAUAUUUUUAGCCUUAAUCUAAGAUUUUCAAGCUGUUUGCAGUACUGCAAUCCCAGUAGCAUCGACGUUGAUAUGUCUGAAUAAAAACUAUGUGUUUUACAAUGAA